GAUGAACGCUGGCGGCGUGCUUAACACAUGCAAGUCGAGCGAGUGAGUUCUUCGGAGCGAUCUAGCGGCGGACGGGUGAGUAACACGUGGGCAACCUGCCUCAUAGAGGGGAAUAGCCUCCCGAAAGGGAGAUUAAUACCGCAUAACAUCAUUGAAGGGCAUCCUUCGAUGAUCAAAGGAGCAAUCCGCUAUGAGAUGGGCCCGCGGCGCAUUAGCUAGUUGGUGAGGUAACGGCUCACCAAGGCGACGAUGCGUAGCCGACCUGAGAGGGUGAUCGGCCACAUUGGGACUGAGACACGGACCAGACUCCUACGGGAGGCAGCAGUGGGGAAUAUUGCACAAUGGGGGAAACCCUGAUGCAGCAACGCCGCGUGAGUGAUGACGGCCUUCGGGUUGUAAAGCUCUGUCUUUGGGGACGAUAAUGACGGUACCCAAGGAGGAAGUCACGGCUAACUACGUGCCAGCCGCCGCAGUAA
rnacentral:rRNA from 1 species